UUUGAAAUAAAAAAAUGUAAUGGGUUCAACCAAAAACUAAUAGCGCACCGCCCAUCUUAAUCUUUACAAACCGUCCAAUUCUUCUUCAAAAUUCUUAUAACUGACGAAUUCCCUCUUCUUCUUCUUCUUCCUCUUCUCCAAGUAACAAUACCUUCUUAUUCUUCUUCUUCUUCUUCUUCUUAUCCUCCCACUUCUUUCUUCUUCUUAUUGCAUUCGAAUUCAUCAUCCUCUUUUCAUACGACGUACCCAUUUCCCUUUCUUGAUUCUUAAGUUUCUUUCUCUUCACCGACUUCCGAUUGGCGGUCAUGACUUUCUUUUCUUCUCCCUUACGGUUACUGGGUUGUAUUUAGUUUUCCUAAUCUUCAUUUUCAUUCUUCAAUUGGGUUUCUGGGUAUCUUUGAUUUUCUUCUCUUUUUUUUUUUUCUUUUCAUUGUUUUAGCCAUUGGAUUCGUUGUUCUUUGGUUUAUGGUUGAUUUUGGUUUCUGGGUUGUCUUCUUUUGGAUGUCUCUGUUUUAGAUAUCUGACUUCUUUUUUCUUUGGUUCCGUAUUUCUUUUAGUACUCUGUUUUCGUUCUUUGUUGUGUUUCUAAUCGAUGGAGAACAAUCAGGAUCAAUGUCAGUUACAGUUUCAGCCAUUUGGAAACGGGCACCGUUUUGAGAAUGGAGUUGAGGUUUUUGUGGGUUCUUCCAAGAAUACAGGAAACGAUGACUUCUCCGAUCGAUUUUCCGACGCCGGAGAUUCUUCAACUGGUCAUGAUCAUGACUCGGUGGUUUCGGAUUCUGAAAGUGGAAUUUCAGGGCCGAGUAUGGAGCAAUUGGAAUGGCGGAAUGAGGGAUUGGUAAAACUUGUAGAAGAAGACAAAAUUUACGACCUAAUCAAGAGAAGAUUCGUAUCUGGUUUGGGAUUACUUGGUCCGCAAACUACGGUCUCGGCCGUUUACAAGAAUAGUCAUUCGACUCAUAUUGGGCAAGCCCGUUUACACACGUUUCAGAUUUACUCCAAAGCAGUUGAGAAGAAAAAUGGCGGUAAUGCCAAUGUCAAGUACGCUUGGUUGGGGGCUUCUAAAGAUCAAAUCAAUAGCAUUCUCGGCUAUGGUUUUUCCCAUUGCAACAAACCUGAGAGUUCGCAGUGUCUUGGCUCUGGCAUUUAUCUUUCCCCUGAUAAUCAUCCUCUUGAAAGCCUGGAAGAUGCUGUUGUAGAUGCAGAUGGUUUAAGGCACCUAUUGCUCUGCCGUGUUGUAUUGGGUAAAUCGGAGCUUAUUCAUCCUGGUUCUAGACAGAAUCAUCCAAGUUGUGAAGCUUUUGAUUCGGGUGCUGACAAUCUCUUUGCACCAAAGAAAUACAUAGUUUGGAGUACACACAUGAACACCCACAUCUUGCCUGAGUAUCUUAUCAGUUUUAGAACUCCCCCUCGCUUGAAAGGAACUUUGAAGGCUAGACAGCCUUUCAGAAUGCCAACCUCCCCUUGGAUGCCAUUUCCAUCUCUGAUUUCUGUUCUCUCUAAGUAUCUACCUGCUCCUGAAAUUGCUAUGAUCACCAAGUAUCACAAAGACCACAGGCUUUUGAAUUCUAGGAUCAUAAGAUUUCAAGGCAUGAGUUGAUUAAGCGAGUGAGGCUGAUAGCAGGGGACAAGUUGUUGAUACAUGUAAUCAAAUCAUUCAGGACACAGGAAAGUAAUGUGGAUGUUGGAUUUGAAGGAAAGGGAAGUAGAAGUGGAGCAAGAAAUGGACAGAAAGCAGCAGGGAAUGUAGAGUCACCAAUUUUGUUAGAGUAGUUGGAUUGGGAGAAGUUUGCAGUUUCUGUUCUGUUCUGUUACGAACGACGAAAGAUUGGAGCACAAGCAAACAAAGAAGGGAUUCAAGGAACGAGUUUGAAACGAAACCAGUGGCUAGAACUAACAUUUUUAUCCUCUUCACCAUACUGUACAGCAAACGUUUGUUUUGUGAUUGGAAGAAUAUUAGCAUUACCAGCAAAAUGUUGUUGUUAUUGCUUUUACUUUAGAAAAUAAGAAAAUGUGUUUGUGCUUUAAGAAAACUCUAUCUUUUGUAGAUUCAUGAGGAUUCUCUCUUUUCCUCCUGAAUUAUAAAGAUAACAUGGACCUCAGCCUAAAAUGAUGUUUAUCAUGUAAUAUGUGGAGUUGUUUGGGUUCAUAAUAUGUAACUAUUAGUGGUUAAAAAGAUGAAAACGGAACUACUUAUGUUU